UGCAGCAAUGUACUUAGUGGCGACCGGGUGCGUAACACGUAGCUGACCUGCCCUAACGCGGGGGACAACCGAGCGAAAGCACGGCUAAUACCGCAUGAACUCUGGUGGAUUAGCAGCACCAGAGGAAACUUCCGGGGCGUUAGGAGGGGGCUGCGGCCCAUCAGGUAGUUGGUAGGGUAACGGCCUACCAAGCCGACGACGGGUAGGGGGCCUGAGAGGGUGGUCCCCCACACUGGGACUGACACACGGCCCAGACUCCUACGGGAGGCAGCAGUAAGGGAUAUUGCGCAAUGGGCGAAAGCCUGACGCAGCAACGCCGCGUGGAGGAUGACGGCCUUCGGGUUGUAAACUCCUUUGGGGGGGGACGAGGAAGGACGGUACCCCCACAACAAGUCACGGCUAACUACGUGCCAGCAGCCGCGGUAAAACGUAGGUGGCGAGCGUUAUCCGGAUUUACUGGGCGUAAAGGGUGUGCAGGCUGCCCCUCAAGUGGUGUAUGAAAGGGCUCGGCUCAACCGGGCUAGGUUAUGCCAGACUGAGGGGCUAGAGAGCGAGAGCGGGACGUGGAAUUCCGGGUGUAGUGGUGAAAUGCGUAGAGAUCCGGAGGAACCCCAGAGGCGAAGGCGGCGUCCUGGCUCGCAUCUGACGCUCAGACACGACAGCAUGGGGAGCGAACGGGAUUAGAAACCCCGGUAGUCCAUGCCGUAAACGAUGCAUACUAGGCGUCGGGGGACUCAACCCCCUCGGUGCCGCAGUUAACACGGUAAGUAUGCCGCC
rnacentral:rRNA from 1 species